UACGAAGGGUGCAAGCGUUGUUCGGAUUUAUUGGGCGUAAAGCGCGCGUAGGCGGACCUGCAAGUCAGAUGUGAAAUCUCGGGGCUCAACCCCGAAACUGCGUCUGAAACUACAGGUCUAGAAUCUUGGAGGGGGUAGGGGAAUUUCGCAUGUAGGGGUAAAAUCCGUAGAUAUGCGAAGGAACACCAGAGGCGAAGGCGCCUACCUGGACAAGUAUUGACGCUGAGGCGCAAAAGCGUGGGGAUCAAACAGG
rnacentral:rRNA from 1 species